rnacentral:lncRNA from 1 species
AAGCUAGCAAUAAAUAUUUAUUGAGUCCUUUGAAAUGUAUCCAGAUAAGUUUUCUUUCAAUUUGAAAAAUCCUUUUCCUUUCUUAAUCAGUUCUCAUAAAAUUCAUUUUUCAAGGCUUUGCCACAUAAGGACUUCCCUGAUUGUCACAAUCUGUAUUUGAGUUUAAUUCUCAACAGACAUUUAUUGCACCUCUACUAGAGUCCUUGUAUUUUAUUGUUUUCUGAGGCUAAAGAGAUGGAAAUCAGUCCUUGUCCCCAGGAAGCUUACAGUCUAGUGGAGAAGGCAGACAGACAGCUGUGAUGGAGAUAGUGAGGCAUGCACUGGAUGCUCAGGGCUGCAGAAAGAAGAUACAUUAACUUGGUCUGAGAGGUCUUUCUGGGGUUGAAUGCCUCAGCUGAAUCUAAUAGUUGGUGGGAAAAGAAGAGGAUAUUCUAGGCAAAGAAAACUGCUGAUACAAAGAGAGAUGAAGGGGAGCAUGCUUCAUCUGGCGACAAGUGGGUCCCCGUGGCUGGAGCACUAGGCAUGAGUGUGGGUCAGGGGAGGCACCAAAGAAACAAAGGCGGCUGGGGAACAGCCAAGACCUGGAUUACAGAAGGUCUUGAAUGUCACAGCAAGGCAGCUAGACUUUACCAGGAAUCCAUGGCAAGCCACUGAAUGGCCUUCAGCAGGGGUGACAUUAUAGAAUUUACUGCCUCUCUUGCUUCUCCAUAGCAACUGGCUUGACUUUACUACACUGCUUGUUUCAGUUUGCCUCUUGCUGCUGUGGUUUGUAUGUGUGUCUCCUCUCCAACGGGCCCACCAGGUAAACUUCGUGAAUGUCUUCAGGAUUUCCAAGACCCCAAAGCACCUGUCAACUGGUGUGUACACAGCAGGGAUCAGUGCUUUGUGGGUAUUUGACACAUGGGCUUGAGCCAUGCAUUCCUAGAGGCUACCAUCAAUCGUGGGGCUGCUAGACUGAGGUUUAAGGAGGAUGUUUAUUUUCCUUGGGCCACAAAUCCCCACUGAAAUGGAUGCAAGAGAAAAGUUCUGAAUUCUAAUGGGGAAGAAAGGGUGGGAAAUCACACAAAACUAAGAACCCUUAGUCAUCUUUGUCAUGAUUUUAUCUGCCUCCCACCCAGGAUCCCACUGAGAUAUUUUGAGGCUGUUCUGCAGCAAAAACUUGGUUGCUUUUCUGAAGCUUUCUGGAAUUUCCGCCUAGUGAACAGAUGGCAUUGUUUUCAUAUGAAGAGCAAAAGAAUCUCAUGUACUCAAACACUGAAAGCUUGAGAAAACACAUAGCGCAUGAGUAGCAAUUAUAAUGGGGAAGGAACAUGCUGUGUCAACAGAGAGCUAGACUCUGUACAAAGCAAGAAUCCAGCUGGUUCUUUGGCCAGUAAUGGGGCCUCUGUGUUAGGGUGAGGAUAUGUGUGCACCAGUGUGGUGCUAACACAGGCUCUGGGUCGCAUCUAUCAGCACAACUGAAUCGCUCUUCUUCUCUCUUUCUAUUAUAUAUAAAGUUCCUAGCAUGGGCUUGGUCCUGAGAAUCCAGAGGUGAAAACAGACAGUCCCUGACCUCAGGGGCUGUCAGCAUGGUGGUAGAUAGAUUUCUUUAUAAAAGAUCUGCACAAAAAAAUGGAAAGAGAAAGUAGGAACCUCUAACUUAGCCUGGAGAGCUCGGGGCGGGGGGGGGUGGAGGUGGGUCCUAGGGGAGGUUCUCUCAGAGCUGAGUCUUAGGAGUUGACUGGGAUCUGGCCAGGAGGGGUGGCAAGAAGGCAAAGUAAAGAGCAAGACUGAGGUCAUCCUGGAUGGAGGGGACAGUGUGAGCCAGGGCCUGGAGGUUCCAGGGGGAAGUGAACUCAGGGACAUCGCACAAGCCCAUGCUGCAUGUCUGGAUAGGGUAGGGCGUGGCCAAAAAUGAGGCCAGAGAUGUAAGCUGGGAAUUAGAAAUGUCUGAACAUAGGGAAAUAUCUGAGCAAAACAGCAUUACGUAAGUUCAUGCAAAUUACUUGCAAAACAAGGUGUACCCUCUCAGGAAACCUACUUACAAGGUUGAGUGCAUGAAAGUAUUUGGUAACAGAUCCCUACUGCCAAGAUCAACAGGUUGCAUAAGAAAGAAGUAGUCAUUUAUUCAUUGAAUCUAAACACAUAUAGAGAGCAUGUGCUGAGUGAGUGCCAGGCACUGGAAGUCCAUGAUCAAAACUAUAUUCCUGACAAAAUGACUAGGACUUGUCAUUCUGCCUACGGUGAAGACGGAGGAGUUCCCGUUGUGGCUCAGUGGUUAACAAAUCUGACUAGGAACCAUGAGGUUGCAGGUUCGAUCCCUGACCUUGCUCAGUGGGUUAAGGAUUCAGCGUUGCCGUGAGCUGUGGUGUAGGUCGCAGAUGCGGCUCGGAUCCCGUGUUUCUGUGGCUCUGGUGUCAGCCAGUGGCUGCAGCUCCGAUUCGACCCCUAGCCUGGGAACUUCCAUAUGCCGCGGGAGAGGCCCUAGAAAAG